rnacentral:lncRNA from 1 species
GGGACCCACCUGUCAAACUCACGUGCAACAUUUUUUUCCUAUAUAAGAAAAACAAAUCCAUCCUCGGUCCAUCCACCUGCUCCCGCUGUACCCGUCUCUAAGACUGUAACAGUUGAUCCAGCCACUCCCACUGCUCACUUCCCAUCGCGUUUGCCUACAGCCACAACAGAUGGAGCUUGCCACGCUGGCCUCAUCCACCAUGCCGCCCCACUGUCAGACCAGCUCAAGGUCCCCGCGCCACCCUCAUCCCCUUGUGCCACAAAGGCUUGAGCUCGCCUUGUCGCUCUCACCUGCAUCCAGUGCGGCUCAGAUUCAAGGUUACACACACCGCCUCACCCCUGCACCGAAGCGGCACGGCAGCACGGCCUCGAGCUGGCCCGCACCAAAGCUCCUGCAGUCCUGCCUUGGUGAUGUGCUUAGAGUCGAAGACAGAUAGCAACGCCAACAAUGAGGGAUGGGCUCUAUAACACCCCCACGUCCAAAAUCUGCCGAUGGCCCAGCUCACACAUGGAAUGAGCCCGCAUAUGCAUAGCACCUCUCUUACACUUUCAUUCUCAAGGUUAGUACGUUUGGAGUGACAGAUUAUAAGCUGGCCCUCACCCUCAACCACAACUACAAAUGAACCGCAUGGGCCAACUACUACAAGCUAAUAAUGGGCUAAGGUAUUAUAGCUCGCCCCACAUCUAAGUAUAUUCCCAUCUAGGCUCAACCCAUGCACUGACGCCCCACAACCAAACACUGGUGGAAAGAGUAUCACCAAGUCCCAUCCCAACUUGUCCCCUGAACCAAAAGAAUGCUAAAGAGGUGACU